rnacentral:rRNA from 1 species
UGACGCUGGCGGAUGCUUUACACAUGCAAGUCGAACGGCAGCACGGACUUCGGUCUGGUGGCGAGUGGCGAACGGGUGAGUAAUACAUCGGAACGUGCCCAGUCGUGGGGGAUAACGUAGCGAAAGCUACGCUAAUACCGCAUACGAUCUAAGGAUGAAAGCGGGGGAUCGCAAGACCUCGCGCGAUUGGAGCGGGCGAUGGCAGAUUAGUAGUUGGUAGGGUAAAGGCCUACCAAGCCGACGAUCUGUAGCUGGUCUGAGAGGACGACCAGCCACACUGGGACUGAGACACGGCCCAGACUCCUACGGGAGGCAGCAGUGGGGAAUUUUGGACAAUGGGCGAAAGCCUGAUCCAGCCAUUCCGCGUGCAGGAUGAAGGCCCUCGGGUUGUAAACUGCUUUUGUACGGAACGAAAAGGUCCUGGUUAAUACCUGGGGCUCAUGACGGUACCGUAAGAAUAAGCACCGGCUAACUACGUGCCAGCAGCCGCGGUAAUACGUAGGUGCAAGCGUUAAUCGGAAUUACUGGGCGUAAAGCGUGCGCAGGCGGUGAUGUAAGACAGAGGUGAAAUCCCCGGGCUCAACCUGGGAACUGCCUUUGUUGACUUGCAUCGCUGAGUACGGCAGAGGGGGAUGGAAUUCCCGCGUGUAGCAGUGAAAAUGCCGUAGAAUUUUGCGGGAGGAAACACCGGAUGGGCGGAAGGGCAAUCCCCCUGUGGGGCCCUGUACUUGAGCGCUCAUGCCGGAAAGGCGUGGGGGAGCACAACCCGGAUUUCGAUACCCCUUGGGUUUCCACGGCCCUUAACACGCAUCUCACACUUGGGUUCUUGGGGUCUUCUCCUGGCAUCUCGUAACAAGCUACGCGUCUAAGUUCCCCCUGGGGGUUCCGC